CAGCCGCCACGGGAAUACCAGCAGCCCAAGUGGUGGUCGCGAUUAUUGGGCCUAAAGCGCUCGUAGCCGGGCCGGUAAGUCCCUUGUGAAAUCGGACGGCCUAACCGUUCGGCGUGCAAGGGAUACCGUCGGUCUUGAGGCCGGGAGACGUCCGAGGUACUCCGGGGGUAGCGGUGAAAUGUUCUGAUCCUCGGGGGACCACCGGUGGCGAAGGCGUUCGACGAGAACGGGCCUGACGGUGAGGGGCGAAGGCUAGGGGAGCAAACGGGAUUAGAUACCCGCGUAGUCCCUGUCUCUUAUU
rnacentral:rRNA from 1 species